ACUAGCUUGAUAUAAUCAGGAAAUAAAGUACGGAUAUCAUGAUAAAGGCUGCGAAGACACAGAAAACUAAGUUGUUGAAGGAAGCAAGGAAGAGAACAGAGGAAAUAUCAGACUGUUGCUGAGCUGGCGUUCUUUCUGCUGGAUUAGUCAGUAAUAACGUAUUAGCUGCUGGAUGUGUCUUGUAUUGCUCUUGUUAGCUAAAUCAACCAGAGUUUCACAGACAGAGAAUGAUUUCAUUUCUAUCUACAUGCACCGCAGGCCCUCUCACAUGGAGGUUGCCAUGUUUCCCCGCCGUGUUUCUACAGUAGCAGAACUGCAAAACCAAAUGAGGCCUAUCAGGAAGAGAACACCGAACUCCUGGGUGAAAGUCUAGUUCCUGGCUCAUCUGUCCACCACAACCACCUCCUUACUUGGACUUUUGUGUUAAAUAUCCUACACCUACCUUUAGCAUUAAUAAAAUUACGCUACAGCUUAUUCA